rnacentral:rRNA from 1 species
UACGGAGGGGACUAGCGUUGUUCGGAAUUACUGGGCGUAAAGCGUGCGUAGGCGGAUCAGCAAGUUGGGGGUGAAAUCCCGGGGCUCAACCCCGGAACUGCCUCCAAAACUGUUGGUCUAGAGUUCGAGAGAGGUGAGUGGAAUUCCGAGUGUAGAGGUGAAAUUCGUAGAUAUUCGGAGGAACAUCAGUGGCGAAGGCGGCUCACUGGCUCGAUACUGACGCUGAGGUACGAAAGUGUGGGGAGCAAAC